rnacentral:rRNA from 1 species
UCGAGGAAGCCACGGCUAACUACGUGCCAGCAGCCGCGGUAAUACGUAGGUGGCGAGCGUUGUCCGGAAUUAUUGGGCGUAAAGGGAGCGCAGGUGGGAAAGUAAGUCAGUCUUAAAAGUGCGGGGCUCAACCCCGUGAGGGGAUUGAAACUACUUUUCUUGAGUGCAGGAGAGGAAAGCGGAAUUCCUAGUGUAGCGGUGAAAUGCGUAGAUAUUAGGAGGAACACCAGUGGCGAAGGCGGCUUUCUGGACUGUAACUGACACUGAGGCUCGAAAGCCAGGGGAGCGAACGGGAUUAGAUACCCCGGUAGUCCUGGCCGUAAACGAUGGAUACUAGGUGUAGGAGGUAUCGACCCCUUCUGUGCCGGAGUUAACGCAAUAAGUAUCCCGCCUGGGGAGUACGGUCGCAAGACUGCAACUCAAAUGA